GAGGACGGGAGAUCAGAAUGCAAUUCAGGGUGACAGGGAGACAAGUAUGCAUCAAGAACCACAGCAGAGACCACGGUGAGAGAGCAAGUGUGGAGGAGAGCCUCCCAGAUCUUGGUAGAGACGACCACAGUUUCAGGGAAGACAUGACUGAGCAGUUUAAACAGGAGGAGGGAGGAAGGAAGGAUAUCUUCAGCCUGCGUAAUGUAACACAGGUGAAAGAAGGCCAGUACCAGAUGGAUGCAGCUGCCUGCCCAUGCACUCUGCACCCAGACCCUGAAACCCAGUGCUUACCCUGGGAACCAGACGACCCAGCUAUCAGGAGCUGAGAAAUAAAGUCACAGCAGCCAUGCCAUUUCAGGAUCACUCCUCUCAGCCCAGAGGACGACCUCAGAUGAAGUAUCUGCCCAUGGCUCCUGGGGGCACCCCUUCCCUGCAUCCCAUAGUCUUGAGAAGCGCAAAGGAAUUCUUACAGAUUCUUUUCACCCCCUGUGAUGGCCCAGGGAGAAGGGAAGCCAACCAAUUAUCAUCC
rnacentral:lncRNA from 1 species